CGCUAAUCUAUCACUAUUGAAAUCCAACUUUUAUUUGGAUCGAUUGGAGCUGAGACUGUCCUCUAUUAGAAAGCGAUGGUUUCGUACGUGUAGUUUAAAAUUUUUGAUAAACCAAAAUUUAUAUAGUGAAAAUAAAAUAAAUUAAAAUUUUUUAAUUUAAAUCAUGUACCAGAUUGGAUCUAAAAAUCAUGCAUUGGAUCUUGACAUGAAUAUGUCAUCUAAAAUAUGAAAUCUGAAAAUAAAACCAAAAAGUAAUAAGUGAAAAGGAGAUUCGAUCAUCAUACCUGAUUGUUUGGAUCUUUGGAUGUCCAGGAUUUGCAUCUGAGCCGUGCAAGCAUCCGAUCUCUGCUGGUAUCCACAUGAAGAUAUCUGAUCGAAGCACCAAGACCACUAGUGUGCUAGUACCUUGCAGGCCUUGCUCCUCAACUUUAGAUCUGGGCCCUUUUCCUUAUAUUACUUGAAGUAGCCCUGUAUAGGAUUUAGGGGAUUGAUCCUAGCCAUCAAGAAAAAUCAAGAACCCCUCUUGAUUUUCUUUUCCUCUCUCUAAGGCUUCUCUAGAUCUCUAUCUGCAGUUGGAAUAAGGGCAUGGAAAGGAGGGGAUAAGGAGUUGUUGGCGC
rnacentral:lncRNA from 1 species